UACGUAGGGCGCAAGCGUUGUCCGGAAUUAUUGGGCGUAAAGAGCUCGUAGGCGGUCUGUCGCGUCGGAUGUGAAAGCCCGGGGCUUAACCCCGGGUCUGCAUUCGAUACGGGCAGACUAGAGUGUGGUAGGGGAGAUCGGAAUUCCUGGUGUAGCGGUGAAAUGCGUAGAUAUCAGGAGGAAUACCGGUGGCGAAAGCGACUCUCUGGACGGCAACUGACGCUGAGGCACGAAAGCGUGGGGAGCAAACAGG
rnacentral:rRNA from 1 species